GGCUUUUACCCCAGCAGGGAGCUGGGCCAACAGCAUUCCCUCUGGUUAUAAGUGGGGAAGCAAGAAAUGGGGUACAGGGGACCUUCACGGUGCUUUGCUCUGCUGGAUUCGGGAUGUUGAGCUGACAUGAGUUUACUCACACUCCUGAUCUUUCAGGAAAACGGCACCUGAGUUAAGGUGUGUAAACCAGAAGUGCAGUAGUGCAUCGAGGAAGGAGGAAAAUGGUACCUGAGGGACCAAGGCAGCUUUCAGGAAGUCUUUCUGGGAAGUCUAAGUGCUCCUGCCCGAACAGGUUCGUCUCUGCUCAUCUGAUAGCUGCAGAGCUGUGGCAAAAGGAUCUAUGCAAAGAUUUAUAUGAGUCCUGUCAGGUAAUCUCAGAGAGUAGGAAUGGAAAGACAAGGUGUUAAAGAACAGCUGUGUGCAGAGG
rnacentral:lncRNA from 1 species